CCGUCGCCCGCAGCGAUGAUCUUCCCCAGCAGCAGCGGCAACCCCGGGGGCAGCAGCAACUGCAGGACGCCCUAUCGCAAGCAGCCUCCGGUCCCAGCCCACCCCGUGGCCCCGCCCAGUCCCAGCACCACCUGCAGUAAUAACAACAGUAGCAACAGUAGCAACUCAGGAUGGGAUCAGCUCAGCGAAACGAACCUCUAUAUCCGAGGACUGCCUCCCCACACCACCGACCAGGACCUGGUGAAGCUCUGUCAACCAUAUGGGAAAAUAGUCUCCACAAAGGCAAUAUUGGAUAAGACAACGAACAAAUGCAAAGGUUACGGUUUUGUGGACUUUGACAGCCCUGCCGCAGCUCAAAAAGCUGUGUCUGCCCUGAAGGCCAGUGGGGUUCAAGCUCAAAUGGCAAAGCAACAGGAACAAGAUCCUACGAACCUGUGCAUUUCUAAUUUGCCACUCUCCAUGGAUGAGCAAGAACUGGAAAAUAUGCUCAAACCAUUUGGACAGGUUAUUUCUACAAGGAUACUGCGUGAUUCCAGUGGUACAAGUCGUGGUGUUGGCUUUGCUAGGAUGGAAUCAACAGAAAAAUGCGAAGCUGUUAUUGGUCAUUUUAAUGAAAAUUUAUUAAGACACCACCAGGAAUUUCUGCCCCCACAGAACCUUUAUUGUGUAAGUUCGCGGAUGGAGGACAGAAAAAGAGACAGAACCCAAACAAAUACAUCCCUAAUGGAAGACCAUGGCAUAGAGAAGGAGAGGCUGGAAUCACACUUGCUUACGACCCAACUACAGCUGCCCUACAGAACGGAUUUUAUCCUUCACCCUACAGUAUUGCUACAAACUGAAUGAUCACUCAAACUUCUAUUACACCCUAUAUUGCAUCUCCUGUAUCUGCCUACCAGGUGCAAAGUCCUUCUUGGAUGCAACCCCAACCAUAUAUUCUACAGCACCCCGGUGCCGUGCUAACUCCCUUAAUGGAGCACACCAUGUCACUACAGCCCGCAUCGAUGAUCAGCCCUCUGGUCCAGCGGAUGAGUCAUCUGUCGCUAGGCAGCACUGGAACAUACAUGCCUGCAAGGUCAGCUAUGCAAGGAGCCUACUUGCCACAGUAUGCACAUAUGCAGACGACAGCGGUUCCUGUUGAGGAGGCAAGUGGUCAACAGCAGGUGGCUGUCGAGACGUCUAAUGACCGUUCUCCGUAUACCUUUCAACCCAAUAAGUAACUGUGAGAUGUACAGAAAGGUGUUCUUACAUGAAGAAGGGUGUGAAGGCUGAACAAUCAUGGAUUUUUCUGAUCAAUUGUGCUUUAGGAAAUUAUUGACAGUUUUGCACAGGUUCUUAAAAACGUUAUUUAUAAUGAAAUCAACUAAAACUAUUUUUGCUAUAAGUUCGAUAAGGUGCAUAAAACCCUUAAAUUCAUCUAGUAGCUGUUCCCCCGAACAGGUUUAUUUUAGUAAUAAAACAAAAACAAAAAACAAAAAGAUUUUUAUCAAAUGUUAUGAUGCAAAAAAAAGAAAAGAAAACUUCAGUUUUCUGGGUAUGCACAAAGAUCAUGAAGACUUAUCCAAGUGCAUGACCGGAUUUUUGUGGUUUUGUUCAUUUUGUGUUUAAUUUGUGGGUUUUUUUCCCAGCUGUAUGAAAUGGGCUUUCUGGAGUUUAAAUAGUCUGACUUCACCCAUGGUGUUCUGUGCUUGCAGUGUGAGUGUCGCUGUAAUUCAGUGUUGCCAUCAGUGUUUCUUUUCUUAGCUUUCUGUCUUUCUUUCAACGUAGUGUGAAGUGUCUUAUCCUUUUCUAUGAAUUCCAGUUUGCCUUAACUCUUUUGAUGCUGUAGCUGUUUCAGUAAAAGUUAGUUCAAACUAAUGAUGUAGAAUGCUUUGGCCAAAUGAGCUGGUCUAUUAUACCUUGUAAAACAGCAGCAUAGGGCUUUUAAAAGGUAGUCAAUGAAAGUUGCUGAAAUUUUGGCUUUUAAAAAAAAUCGAUA